rnacentral:tRNA from 1 species
UCCCUGGUGGUUCAAUGGUUAAGAUGCCACACUUCCAAUGCAGGGGAUACGGGUUCAAUCCUUGUUCUGGGAA